rnacentral:lncRNA from 1 species
AAGGGAGGAGGUUCAGGAACUUUCUGAAGAUUUGAGGAGCUCAGCUGUGAGAGGACUUCAGUUUUCUAAUUGUGAAAGAAACCUUCUGUGACAAAGUUGCAGCAUUUCUGUCUACUGGCUAAAUCUAGCUUCGUUAGAGUUGUGCAUAGGCACUACAUAAUUAAUCUGACUUGCAGAGUGGUUUAUUAAAGCUUUUCUUUGACAAUUUUCUUUUAGCCUAAUGAAAAAAAAUAUACCUUUUUGAGCCCUCACCCAAAUACAAAUGACAUCUUUUGGACCUUCAGAGACUUUUCUGUAGCGUGCUUAAAAAAGUGACUGCCUAUUUUCAUUUAGCUAUGGAGGUGACAAAAUAUUGAAAGAGUGGCUGACAUGGCAACAUGGGGAUUCCUGCCCAGGACAAGGAGCACACAUGAGUAAGCAGCCACUGCUCAGUGUACUCAGGGCAGUUUUCACCUCCGUGCCAAAGAGGGGACGCUGGGAACUGAGGAGGCCAGUGCUGUGUGCUUAUACACUCAUGCUGUGUAUAUAUACUUAAUACAUUUCCUUUGCUGCUGAGUAUACACUUCACCUUUGAGGAACUCCAAGGGUAAGUAUUUUCACUAGUUUGAAGAUGGGGAAAUUGAGAUGGGAGAAAGCCAGGGCCUUGUCUGAAGAGGGAAGUCCUGGUUUGACCAGGAGCUCAAGGCUUACAGGCCUAUGUUCACACUGUGCCACCACAGCACUGUGCAACACAAACAUGUUUCACCUUGUUCCCCUUUGUGGAGGGAAACAAGAUCAUCCAAACAAGUAAAUAAAUUGUUCCAUUUCCUGGAAUGGGAAUGCAUACCAUUAAAAGAUCUGUCAUAAAACUGAAAGGCAUAAGAACCUCGGUAGUGAACUGGCUUGCCUCCAGAAAUCAAACCAACCCAAACAGCGAUAAUACCCACAGAGCCCCGCUUUUCAUAGGACCGUAUCCAGGGAUGUUGAAGUCGGAGGAGCUGACAAGCCUCUCUUCAGGUCACAAAGGAAUCAGUGAUAGAGAUGCAUCUGGAAGUGGGCACGAAUCCUGAACUGGUUACUUUCAUAUGCUGGGUUUUACUCUGUGCUUAACUUAAGCACUUUCUCUCCUCCCAUUUCUGUCUGACAUCUUUUACCAGAUAUUUGCUAAUCUCAGGAUUAUGCAGGGAGCAUAUUUUCAGUCAUAGGAUGCUCACAUGCUUCCCAGAACAGGGGGAAUGCAAGCACUCUCUUGCACGGGUGUUGCUGAUACACUCACGCACGCACACACGAGCACUGGUUGGGAACCGAUCAUCAGGGAAUUGAUUAAAGCCAAGAGGGCGAAGAUAUGAGCUGGUGAAUUACGGUAACAAGCAGGAUUGCGCUUACCAUCUCUGUUGAAUAAAUCUGUCCAAAAGCCAUCA